rnacentral:lncRNA from 1 species
GAUAAUAAGGGUUCAGUCUUGGAUGGCAGGUGGCACCCAAAUGUAAGUUAGAAUUAUUAUUGAUCUCACCCUGGCUGGGCAAGAUGAUAAGAGAGUAAGCUCAAUACCAAAGUUAUUUUCCUCUUCGUUGACUCCCUGACAUUUUCUCCCCUAACCUGAACUUCACAGGAACACCAAUUACCUUCACAUGUGAUGGGAUUCACUUACCUGGGGAGGAGUGGAGGGAAGAGGAAUCUACCCUGGUACUCCAGUAACAAACCCUGGCGUGGACAGUGGAAGCUGAACCUCCACUGAGUAUGAAAAGAGAGGAAGACAGCUGCUGGAUCUGGAAACUUUCAAAUGCAUAAUGAAACAGAGUAUGAGG